rnacentral:rRNA from 1 species
GACAGAGGGUGCAAACGUUGUUCGGAAUUACUGGGCGUAAAGCGCACGUAGGCGGCUUUCUAAGUCGGGGGUGAAAUCCUGGAGCUCAACUCCAGAACUGCCUUCGAUACUGGAGAGCUCGAGUCCGGGAGAGGUGAGUGGAACUGCGAGUGUAGAGGUGAAAUUCGUAGAUAUUCGCAAGAACACCAGUGGCGAAGGCGGCUCACUGGCCCGGUACUGACGCUGAGGUGCGAAAGCGUGGGGAGCAAACAGG